rnacentral:piRNA from 1 species
UUCUAGGUGACUUUGUCUUUGGAAAGUGC